CGGCGGACGGGUGAGUAAUGCCUAGGAAUCUGCCUGGUAGUGGGGGACAACGUUUUCGAAAGGAACGCUAAUACCGCAUACGUCCUACGGGAGAAAGCAGGGGACCUUCGGGCCUUGCGCUAUCAGAUGAGCCUAGGUCGGAUUAGCUAGUUGGUGAGGUAAUGGCUCACCAAGGCGACGAUCCGUAACUGGUCUGAGAGGAUGAUCAGUCACACUGGAACUGAGACACGGUCCAGACUCCUACGGGAGGCAGCAGUGGGGAAUAUUGGACAAUGGGCGAAAGCCUGAUCCAGCCAUGCCGCGUGUGUGAAGAAGGUCUUCGGAUUGUAAA
rnacentral:rRNA from 1 species